rfam:Schistosoma curassoni strain Dakar, Senegal genome assembly, scaffold: SCTD_scaffold0002335
ACACUGCUGAAGAGUCCCACGAUAGGACGAAACGGCCGUCCAGUAC